rnacentral:rRNA from 1 species
GAAACUAACAAGGAUUCCCCUAGUAACGGCGAGUGAAGAGGGAAGAGCCCAAGAUUGAAAGCUGGCGUCUUUGGCGUUCGCAUUGUAAUCUCAAGAAGUGUUUUCCGUUUCGGACCAUGCCUAAGUCUCUUGGAAAAGAGCAUCAUAGAGGGUGAUAAUCCCGUACAUGGCAUGGAGCGCCCGAGACUUUGUGAUACACUUUCUAAGAGUCGAGUUGUUUGGGAAUGCAGCUCAAAAUGGGUGGUAAAUGCCAUCUAAGGCUAAAUAUUGGGGAGAGACCGAUAGCGAACAAGUACAGUGAUGGAAAGAUGAAAAGAACUUUGAAAAGAGAGUUAAACAGUACGUGAAAUUGCCAAAAGGGAAGGGUAGGAGGUCAGAGAUGCGUUCUGGGAUUCAGCCUUGCUUUUGCUUGGUGUUUUUCCCAGAUGGCAGGCCAACGUCGGUUUUGGGCGCUGGAGAAGGGUGGAAGGAAUGUGGCACCUCUCGGGGUGUGUUAUAGCCUUCUACUGGAUACAGUGACCGAGACCGAGGACAGCAGCGUACUCGCAAGAGCGGGCCUUCGGGC